rnacentral:lncRNA from 1 species
UUCUAUUAGCCAAUGCAAGUCAUGAGGACAGCCCAUACUUCAAGGGGUGUGAAAAAAGCCUCUGCCUUUUUAGUCUUUAAUGAAAACUAAAGUGUCCCAUGGCAACGUCAUGGAUACAGGGAAGGAUGAAGGAUUGGGGUUGUUUCUGCAGCCUCGUACAUAGGAGAACCAAAUAGGAUUUUUAGGUUUUUUUUGCACAACUGAAUGAGUAUCAUUCUAUUCUUUAAGACUAGAGGAAGAAUGGUUGAGUGGACAUGGAUAUAUUGAGAGUUCCCAAGUAAAUCUGAGAUGAUGUAAGGUGUUCAUCUUCUCCAUGAGGCUUACUUCUCCAUCCUUCUUCUUCCCUCCUGUAGCACCCCUGAGCCUCCUUACCCUGAAGGAACUUGCUCGCUGGAAAUGGGAUUCAAACCAAAGCAGUCUGAUUCCAGUCUGUGUUCUUAUAAGUAUUACUUCCACCCACAUAUGUUAGUUCUGCUCUUGAUUCAUACAAACAAAGAAAAGCUCAAAAGAGGAAUCUGGGCCAGCUCUAUGGGAUUAACGGUGCCUCUGCCGUUGAAGGCCUCAGGACCCCUUUAAGUUCUCAGGAUCUGCCAGUUGGUACAAAUGCAAAAAGGAAUGGGCGGCUGACACCUCUAGAAAGGAAUUUUCUCCCUCUCUCCGGCCCAGAGAACUGGUUUAUUAGACAAAAGAACCUCAAAUGUGGAUUAGGAAUGAAUUAUCCUCUUAACUUCAGGCACAUGAACAUCAUAAAAACAGCUAUUCUAACAGCAUUAGGAAUCCUGGUUGUGCCGCUGCAGUUUAUGGGGUUAUUGGAUUGCCUGUGGGUCCUGCCCAGAAAAUGGGAGAAUAGGUUUCCCAACAGGAGAAAGUUGUUAAUAGUAACUGACUGAAUGUCCACACUUAUCUCUGUUCCUCGUCAGAGUGUAUUAUCUGUUUUUAUGUUUGUUUCCCCACUUAGAGAGAUUCUUGGGGAUAGUGCCCUUGUCUGUCACUGUAUCAUAGAACCCAG